rnacentral:ncRNA from 1 species
UAAAGGUUUGGUCCCAGCCUUCCCAUUAGUUGUUAGUAAAUUUACACAUGCAAGUAUCCGCAAUCCUGUGAGAAUACCCUCUAAAUCAAUAUGAUUAAAAGGAGUUGAUAUCAAGCACACUAAAAUAAGUAGCUUCUGACAUCUUGCUUAGCCACACCCCCACGGGAAACAGCAGUGAUAGAAAUUAAGCAAUAAACGAAAGUUUGACUAAGUUAUACUAAUAUAGGGUUGGUAAAUUUCGUGCCAGCCACCGCGGUCAUACGAUUAACCCGAACUAAUAGGCAACGGCGUAAAGCGUGUUAAAGAAUCAAUACUCACAAUAAAGAUAAAAAUUAACUAGGCCGUAGAAAGCAACAGUUAAAAUUAGAAUACACAACGAAAGUGUCUUUAUUAAUUCCUAAACACGAUAGCUAAGACCCAAACUGGGAUUAGAUACCCCACUAUGCUUAGCCCUAAACCCAGGUAAUUUAUAACAAAAUUACCCGCCAGAGAACUACUAGCAAUAGCUUAAAACUCAAAGGACUUGGCGGUGCUUUAUAUCCCUCUAGAGGAGCCUGUUCUAUAAUCGAUAAACCCCGAUAUACCUUACCACCCCUUGCUAAUUCAGCUUAUAUACCGCCAUCUUCAGCAAACCCUAAAAAGGAGUAAUAGUAAGCACAAGUAUAAUACAUAAAAACGUUAGGUCAAGGUGUAGCUUAUGAGGUGGGAAGAAAUGGGCUACAUUUUCUAUAUUAGAAUAAUAACGAAAGUAUUUAUGAAAACUAAAUACUAAAGGAGGAUUUAGUAGUAAGUUAAGAAUAGAGUGCUUAACUGAAUAAGGCCAUGAAGCACGCACACACCGCCCGUCACCCUCCUCAAGUACAUAAAAUUAAUUAAUACCUAAUUAUCAUCAUAAAAUAUUAGAGGAGAUAAGUCGUAACAAGGUAAGCAUACUGGAAAGUGUGCUUGGACGAAU